rnacentral:rRNA from 1 species
UCCGGAGGGGGCUAUCGUUGUUCGGAAUCACUGGGCGUAAAGCGCGCGUAGGCGGACGUGUAAGUCAGGGGUGAAAUCCCAGGGCUCAACCCUGGAACUGCCCUUGAUACUGGAAGUCUCGAGUCCGGGAGAGGUGAGUGGAACUCCGAGUGUAGAGGUGAAAUUCGUAGAUAUUCGGAAGAACACCAGUGGCGAAGGCGGCUCACUGGCCCGGUACUGACGCUGAGGUGCGAAAGCGUGGGGAGAAAACAGG